CAAGUGCUUUGAACACAUUGGGGCUUAAUAGAUAUUAUUACUAUUCCUAAAGCCUUGAAAAACAUGGACGAAUCCAUAGAUGGUGGCAGGCCUGUUGAAAUCUACAAGAAAAACAAGCAUGUACUCCCUGGGUAUUGAGAGAUUUUUUCUCUUUACAUAGAAUACUGAGGAAGUGCCACAGGCUUUCAAAGACUCCAUCUUUUCUAGAAGAGAAAUAAUUGAGGAAACUAUUUUCUGUUCCUGGCAAGAAUAGUUGACAAGAUCACAAGGAGCAAGAAACUGAGGAGAUCGAGUAAUAAGGAAUCAAUCCUGGUUCACACUUAAGUGCACACUGAAGUCACCCAAGAAAUCCUGCUGACCGACCGACUUGACUACCUUUAAUUUCCUGGUUAUGAAUGCCGGAAUGUCCAUCUUUCUGGGGGAACUGGGGACAUGGAUCAACUUAAAAACAUCAGGAAUAAAGGUGUGCUCACCACGGGACUGAUGAAAGGGAAAUAAAUGACGGCCCUGUUUUCCUUCCUUGUGAAGAGUGUGGCAGCUUCUCUGAGUCAUGACAUACACCCACAAAGGCUAAUCAACAGGUGAGUACAGAAAAUAUUUAUCACUCAUUACAAUUAGCUGGAAAAGUGGGACUUUUCCAUCUGGGAACAAAGCAUCUUCGUUUUCACUUUGCACUUACUGAAUCCCUCCACGUCCACAUUUUUUUAUAAAAUGUAAUAACUGC
rnacentral:lncRNA from 1 species